CUUAGCUUUAAAUUUAGAAAUAAUAAAUUUGUUAAGCAUAAAUAUCAACACUAGUUGAUCCUAUUGAUGACAAAAUUGAUUUUCUUGCAAGAUCGAUUUGUGUCCAUCGUUGAUAUUAAGCUUAAUUUAGGAAUAAUGUGUUUGUUAAGCAUAAGUAUCAACACUAGUUGAUCCUAUAGAUGACAAAAUUGAUUUUCUUGGAAGAUCGAUUUGUGUCCAUCUAGUGUUGACACUUAGCUUUAAAUUUAGAAAUAAUAUAUUUGUUAAGCAUGAGUACCAACACUAGUUGAUCCUAUUGAUGACAAAAUUGAUUUUCUUGCAAGAUCGAUUUGUGUCCAUCUAGUGUUGACACUUAGCUUUAAAUUUAGAAAUAAUA
rnacentral:lncRNA from 1 species